rnacentral:lncRNA from 1 species
CUCUAGGCGGAGCAGAGCUUGAAAAUUGACGAAAAUCUUAUCUAACAGAGUGGAAGCACAAGCCAUAAGCGAUAGUCCCCGGCCCUCCCAGCUAGCCACUGCGAGAGCGGAGUGGUUUAAUGGUUCGUGGAUUCCGCCUCACCCAAGCGAAGACCUUGGGGUAAGGUAAGGGAAGCACCCUUAGCCGGAGUGUAUAUCUUUUCAUAAUGAUUAUUCUUUUCUUAUUGAAUUAAUUGGUGUUCAAUGGGAUCGAAUGAUAUAUUAGUUCAGUAUUAUUUUUCUCUGUUUCAAUUUUAAAAUAAUAGGGCAUGAUUUGAUUAUGCGGACCAUUAGCACAUGAGGUGCUACUCUGGUUUGACCCUACGAUAUGCAAUCGUUGAUCGGCCUUAGCACUUGAGUCUUGAGGAUGACAUUAAAAGCUGUCUUAUCUCCCAAACUAAAGAAGGUUUCAAUAAAUUGGUGAGUCUAAUUUAAGCAGUGUUUGUGAUGAGUCUUAAAACAAUGAGAUAUUAAUGAUGAUGUUAAUAUGCUUAGAUGCUUUGAUUCGUUGGGUAAAAUUGUUGUUCAUGGAUACUUUUAAAUUGAUGAUGGUGAUGAUUAUUCAUGAAAUUAAUUGAUGAAAAUGAAAUAGUGAAGUAUUGGUGUUGUGGAUAUUGUUAGUAAUAUAACUCUAAUAAAAUGAUAUUGUAUGUUGGUGUGUCAGUCAUGUACGAUUGAUAAUGUGUAUAUUUGGCAAUUGGCAUUCAUGCAUCAUUAUUGAGUCAAUGACAUGCAAAUUGGUGAUGAAUUGGUGAUAUGGAUAAAUCAGUAACAAACCUCUUAUAUGCAAAAUUGGUGAGGAAGUUGGUACCACCUGCAUUUAGAUCGAGUCUAGCUUAAGAUUUGAAAGAGGUUUUCCGAUCUCUAAUUUAAAAGAGAUUUCGAACGAUCCAGCUGUCACUUGAAAACACUUUAUUAACAAGCUGACAAAAACCGUUGCAAAUGUAUAAGUAUAACAACUGUGUUAUUAUUUUUCUUAAGUAGCAUUUUCUUGAGAGACAUGUCUAUUGAAAUUCAAAUUUAUAAAGAAAAUUUUCGGGUGUUUCAAAAAUUUUGUUACUAGUUGUUACUAGAAUCAUCUCUAGUAACAAGUUUUAUGAAACACGAAAAUUUUUUCUAUAUAAAUUUGAAUUUCAACAAGUUUGUUCCUCAAGAAAGUGUUACUUGAGAAAAAUAAUAAUACAGCUUUAUACAUUUACAACGGUCUUUACAAUUUGUUAAUAAAGUGGUUUCAAUCAGUGAAAGCUGGAUCGUUAGAAAUCUCUUUUAAAUUAGGGAUCAGAAAACCUUUUUCAAACCAUUCUACAAUUCCCUUUCUCUCUCUACCAUCGUCGAUCUUCAUUACUAACGAGUUUAUUUGUUUUCUUUAUUUUAUUUAUAUAGUAUAAUUUAUUAGGUCAAUUAUUUCAUUAAUUUUAAUAAGUAUUUUAGAAAGAUUAUGUUACUUGUAUAUUGUAGUGAAUUUAAGUAUUUUGCUGAGUGUUGAUUUACGAUUUUUGAAUUUAAAUUUUUUUAUUUAGGGUGGUUGAAAAUAUAGUAAUAUAGAUUAAUAAAUCUUGUAAACUGUCAUGUUUUGUUAAUUUAGUUUGGGUUACUUCAAAUUGGUAAGCAGGUAUGAGACAAAAUUUUUUUUCUUUAAUCUUUUCUCAAGAAUUGACAAAAGAUAAAACUUAGGGUCCGUUUGAUCUACAAAAUAUAAAUACUGGACAGAACAGUACAGGACAAACGUUUAAGGUAUUGAACAAACUUUGUGUUUUACGAUGUUUGGUGGACAAAAGGUUAUUUUGGUAUUUUAGACAACUUGUGCUGAGGACAAAAAGUUGUCUCGUGGUUCUGUGGGGGACAAGAAUUUCAGUUUUUGUCCUGUCCCUUGACCCUCAGUAUGUCCAGUACCAGGAACAGUUUUAAAAUCAAACACAGCACAACAGAAAUUGUCCUGUUCAGUCCCUUAUUUUUUAGCAGAUCAAACCCACCCUUAAAGUUAUUCAAUUACUUGUUUAAAUUUACUUCAUUCUAAAUUUACUUCGAGUUUUGGAUGAAUAUAUAGUUUUGUAAUAAAUAAUAAAGAAAAAUUAUUCCCCUUAUGAUGGUUGGAUAAGUGAUAAGUGCAAGCAUAGUAUAUUCCUAAUUGAAGUCCGUUUAAUGCGCAGGAUAAAAAACAUGAUAUGAUAACUGUAUUAUAUCCUGUCUUAAUUUAGUGUUUGAUGAACUAAUAAGAAAUGAUAAGUUAAUUGUGGAAUUUAUCUUAUCUCAUCUCUCUAAUUAAAAUUCUUAUCCUGAAUUUGAGUUGGGUUACUGACAUGAUAUGAUAAGAAAAUAAUUUACCCAAUAAUUUGAUAAAAUAUAUUUUAAAAUAAAAAAUGAAAAUUAAUAAAAUAUUAAUAAUAAAAUAAUUUGAUAGUAAAUUAAAAAUAAAAUAAUUAAUUUUCAAAUACACACACGAUUUUCACAAGGUUAAUUUUAUAAUAAUAAUUUACAUAAUUUUUAAAAUCAAUUUUUUUCUAUAAUUACAAGAUUUUAAAGUAAAAUAAUUAUUAAGAAUUGUAAAAUAGGGAUAUUAAUAAUUUAGAUUUUAUAACAAAUUAAAUAUAAUUCUCUUUCAAUGGUUGUUUUAUUAUUUACAUAUAAAAUAUAUGAUAUUUUUAUUUAUCUUAUAUAUCUAACAUAUAUAAUUAUGUUUUUUAUUUGAUCAUGUUCAUAUAAAAAUAAUUUGUUGUUUCGGCCGGGAGUGUUGCGGUUUCUAUUUUACAGGAUCUGAAGUUUCCUCCGAUUUUUGCAGAGCCUCCGAGUAUUUUUCCGGUUUGUCGGAAAGCACCUAGUUUUGAUUGGGUUAAAGUGAAUACGGAUGGCUCCUUGGUGAGCGCGACUACAGCUUGUGGUGCCAUUUAUAGAGACACUCUUGGGGCAUUUUUGGGUGGUUUUUUGUGUAAGCUCACCUGCCAUACUGUGUUACAUGCUGAACUUCUUGCUCCCAUGUUGCUGUUCGGGCCUCCAAGAACUCCUCUAUUGUUCCAUGGGACUUGCGGAAUCGAUGGAGAAACUGUUUUGUCAGGGAUAUGAUGUUGUUAUUUAUUUUCACACACUUAUCGUGAAGGGAAUGUAUGUGCCGACUUUCUAGCCAGCCUAGGACAUGCUUCUACAGGGCUCCAGUGGUGGAGUUCCUUGCCCCCUGCUUUACCAAUCGCAUUUUUCAGGGACAUAUGUGGUCUUUCGAAAUUUUUGCUUUUCUUAAUGUUUGUGUUUAGCUUUCCAACUUUGUUUUAGUUUUCUUUGUUUUCUUUCGGUUUUGGGUACGGUUUGGUCCCCCCAAUUUGUAAAUACUUUCGCCCCUUUUUUUAAUUUAUAGAGACGAGCACUU